rnacentral:rRNA from 1 species
GACGAACGCUGGCGGCGUGCUUAGCACAUGCAAGUCGAACGGAAAGGCCCUGCUUUUGUGGGGUGCUCGAGUGGCGAACGGGUGAGUAACACGUGAGUAACCUGCCCUUGACUUUGGGAUAACUUCAGGAAACUGGGGCUAAUACCGGAUAGGAGCUCCUGCUGCAUGGUGGGGGUUGGAAAGUUUCGGCGGUUGGGGAUGGACUCGCGGCUUAUCAGCUUGUUGGUGGGGUAGUGGCUUACCAAGGCUUUGACGGGUAGCCGGCCUGAGAGGGUGACCGGCCCCCUUGGGACUGAGAUACGGCCCAGACUCCUACGGGAGGCAGCAGUGGGGAAUAUUGCACCAUGGGCGGAAGCCUGAUGCCGCAACGCCGCGUGCGGGAUGACGGCCUUCGGGUUGUAAACCGCUUUCGCCUGUGACGAAGCGUGAGUGACGGUAAUGGGUAAAGAAGCACCGGCUAACUACGUG